ACCUUCUGUGGUGUAGUUGGUAACACAUUGGCACAGUAAUUAUGUGUCCUGGGUUCAAGUCCUGGUGGGGGUA